GCUAAUCUCCGAAACUACUGGUUCGAAUUGAGUAGAAUUGAAAUCCGUAUGUGUGUCUGUCAGUACGUCGGUCCGUCCAUGCAAGCGAUAACUUGAGUAAAAAUUUCAAAUACAGUGGAAUUUCCCUAACUCGAAUCACCAUAAUCCACAAAAAAACUUCGAGUUAGAGAGGCUUCGACUUAUAAAAUUUUAAUUAAAACAAAUAAUUUCAAAAAGCAGUACAAUAUAGAUUUAUUCUCAGUUUUAUUUAAUUUCUUCGAAAAAAGUUUUAUGUACAUACUUUAAAACAUGUAUUCUGUAAUUUUUAUUGUUGAAGUUUCUUUUUUUUUGACUCUGUAUCUCAUGCCUUUGUUGUAACAUUUAUGGCAUAAAUUCUAUAUUAUAUCUAUAUUAUAAGUUAGGAAAUUUGUAUGAAAUUUUACUUCUAUUGCCAAUUCAAGAGUUCGAGUUAUGGAGAACUUCGAGGGAAUUUUCACCGGAAUUCAACCAUUAUUGGCGCAGAGACACAUUCAGCGUUACUGUAAACUCUCUGUGAAUAAAUAAAUCCCAUGUACUUUAGUUUAAUGCGAACGAAAAUUUCAUGUCAUAAGUUUUGUGGGAAUGAAAACUUAUAGAUACAUAUAAACCAUGAUUCAAUUAUACAAGAUUUGUAAGUAAAUAGCCUUAUCAUUAAGAAGCUAUUCUGUUAAAAAAUUUCAACACAUCUUUAUUACAACUAUUUUUCGCGUCAGUACAUGGCGAAAAUUUUACCACAAAGGUAGUUUUUUUGUUAAAAACCUAUAAAGAAUUCAGCUUUUAUACUCUCGCAACAUGUUGCACAGAGUAUUCUAGUUUUUACAGAGUUAGAUAUGGGGUUAUAUAUAUAUAAAUGAUCAGGUUGACGAGUGGAGUUGAAAUCCGGAUGUUUGCCCGUCCGUCUGUCUGCCCGUCUAUCCAUGCAAGCGAUAACUUGAGUAAAAAUUGCGUUAUCUUAAUGAAACUUGGAACACAUAUUCCUUGGCACCCUGAGGAUGUUGCUUUCGAAGAUGGGCAAAAACGGUCCACUGCCACGCCCACAAAAUGGUGAAAACUUAAAACACAUAAAGUGUCAUAACUAAGCCAUAAAUAAAGUUAUGAAAGUAAAAUUUGGUACAACGCAUCGCAUUAGGGAGGGGAAGAUCUACAUAACUUGAAGUUCUCCAUAACUCGAAUCCUUUAAGUGUCAAUAGAAGUCAAAUUUCCUUUCAUAAAUCGAACUUUUCGACUAGAGCAUAAUAGAAAAUUUACUAUCGAGACAGUAUUUUAAAGGAGGUCCUAUAUUUGUAUAGAGGCAAACAAAAAUAUGAUAUUACACUUAUAGAUUUCAUAAAUCAUGUAACAAAGCAUUGGAUACAGACGUCAAGAGCCAAACAAUAGCAAUCUGUAACAUACAAAAUUAAACAAGUAAGGAAAGGCUAAGUUCGGGUGCAACCAAUCAUUUUAUACUCUCGCAAUUUAUUGACGUAAUUUUAUAAAGAUAAUACAAUUCGACCCAUAUAUUCGGCAUAAAGUUCAAUAGAAUAACGAAAAUCGUCAUAAAUAGUAUAGGGGCCAUCCAUAAAUUAUGUCACACGAAUUUAAGGACUUUUUAAUCCCUCCCCCCUCCUUGUCACAAGUUGUCACAUUUUGAAAUUUAUAAAUUCUUUGUCUUUAUAAUGCUUUGUCAUUUGUUAUGCUUCGCAAUCUUCAAGCAGCUAUCGAAUAAUGUAAUAUUUGCAAGAAUUUUUUAAAGGGACUUACAAGGGGGCAGAAUGCUUGAUUCCACGAAUUUCUUUGAGUUCUAACGAUUUGCCAUUCCAGUUCAAACGUAUUCAGUUUCCAAUGAGACUUGCAUUUGGGAUGACAAUCAACGCGUCUCAAAGACAGUCGCUGGAGGUGUGUGGCAUACAUUUCAUUAUAUAUAUUUGGCGUAGAAACCGCUUUAAGCGAUUAUAGCCGAAUCCACCAGAUCGCGCCACUCAUUCCUUAGUUUUGCUUUUUGGCGCCAACUGGAAACACCAAGUGAAGCCAGGUCACUUUGCACUUGGUCUUUCCACCGGAGUGGAGGUCGUCCUCUUCCGCGGCUUCCUCCAGCGGGUACUGCAUCGAAUACUUUCAGAGCUGGAGUGUUUUCUUCCAUCCGUACAACAUGACCUAGCCAGCGAAGCCGCUGUCUUUUUAUUCGCUGAACUAUGUCAAUGUCGUCGUAUAAAUCGUACAGCUCAUCGUUCCAUCGUCUGCGGUAUUCGCCGUUGCCAAUGUUUAGAGGACCAUAAAUCUUGCGCAAAACCUUUCUCUCGAAAACCCCAAGAGUCGUCUCAUCGGAUGUUGUCAUCGUCCACGCUUCAGCGCCAUACAUCAGGACGGGAAUAAUGAGCGACUAAUAGAGUUUGAUUUUGGUUCGUCGAGAGAGGACUUUACUUUUCAAUUGCCUACUCAGUCCAAAGUAGCACCUGUUGGCAAGAGUGAUUCUGCGUUGGAUUUCAAGGCUGACAUUGUUGGUGUUGUUAAUGCUGGUUUCCAGAUAAACGAAAUUAUCUACAACUUCAAAGUUAUGACUGUCAACAGUGACGUGGGAGCCAAGACGCGAGUGCGCUGACUGUUUGUUUGAUGACAGGAGAUAUUUCGUCUUGUCCUCAUUCACCUCCAGACCCAUUCGCUUCGCCCCUUAUCCAUGCGGGAAAAAGCAGAACAAACGGCGCGGUUGUUGCUUCCGAUGAUAUCAAUAUCUUCGGUGUAUGCGAGUAGCUGUACACUCUUAUAAAAUAUUGUACCUUCUCUAUUUAGCUCUGCAGCUCGUAUUAUUUUUUCCAACAUCAAGUUAAAGAAGUGUUGCUCAACGUCAACUUACACAGCCGUAUUAGUUUUGCGGGGAUACCAAAUUCAGACAUCGCGGCAUAAAGGCAGCUCCUUUUCGUGCUGUCGAAAGCAGCUUUGAAAUCGACAAAAAGAUGGUGUGUGUCGAUCCUCUUUUCACGGGUCUUCUCCAAGAUUUGGCGCAUGGUGAAUAUCUGGUCCAUGGUGGACUUUCCAGGUCUAAAGCCACACUGAUAAGGUCCAAUCAGUUUGUUGACGGUGGGCUUAAGUCUUUCACACAAUACGCUCGAUAUAACCUUAUAGGCGAUAUUUAGAAGGCUUAUCCCACGGUAAUUGGCACAAUUUGUGGGAUCUCCCACAAAUAAGUUCUACAAAAUUGUAGUACAUCACUUUGUUAUAUCUUCAAUCGUUUUCGCACCAUUCGCGAUUAAAGAAAGUUUUUUGGUAUUUUUUUUACAUUAUCGGAGUUUUGGUAAGGAACCCUAUUUUUUUUUUAAACUAAAUAUAGCCUAUGUCACUCAGGGAUAGUAUAGCUUUCCAACGGUGAAAGACUUUUUCAAAUCGGUUCAGUAGUUUCGGAGCCUAUUCGAGACAAACAAACAAAAAAAACAAACAUUUCCUCUUUAUAAUAUUAGUAUAGAUGAAAACAUUUCAUCAACAUAUUUUUUAUUUCAAUUUAAUUGGUUUCAAGGCUGCUGAAGAAGAAGCGUUUAAACUUGAGAUGUCUAGAAAACCUGCAGAUUUCUUAGCCCCAUAUUUGAUACCUUACAAAACUCGAUCACUUACAUAUGAAGAAUCAUGGGCAGCUUACAACACUGGUUUAUAUGAACUUAAAACCCGGUUUGUGGGACUCUUAAACGACCUUCAACGUCAAUACGAAGAUCUUACUGCUGAAGCAAAAUCUCUUGAACGGUUUUUAAACAAAUUUGAAGAUCAGUUUGAUAACUAUAAUUAUGAGAAACUUGUGGAGCAAGCCGACGUCAUUGCUUUACACAAGCGAAUGAUUCAACAACGUUUGACGUUAACACAUGAAGAAUCACAAAAGAAAUAUGAAACUGUGAAAAAAUCUCUUUUGAGAGAUCAUCGUCUCAAUUUAAAGCGUACAUCCAAUGGAGAGGAUUAGAUAUACAUAAUUCCUUGAAUACGCCAAGUCACUUAAAUUUGUACAAAUUACUAUUUUUUUAGAUUAAUAAUCCUUAUAAAAUGUUUUGUGCUAUUUCA